AGUGAACGCUGGCGGCAUGCUUUACACAUGCAAGUCGAACGGUAACAGGUUAAGCUGACGAGUGGCGAACGGGUGAGUAAUGCAUCGGAACGUGCCCGAUCGUGGGGGAUAACGCAGCGAAAGCUGCGCUAAUACCGCAUACGAUCUGAGGAUGAAAGCGGGGGACCGUAAGGCCUCGCGCGAUCGGAGCGGCCGAUGUCAGAUUAGGUAGUUGGUGGGGUAAAGGCCCACCAAGCCGACGAUCUGUGGCUGGUCUGAGAGGACGACCAGCCACACUGGGACUGAGACACGGCCCAGACUCCUACGGGAGGCAGCAGUGGGGAAUUGUGGACAAUGGGCGAAAGCCUGAUCCAGCAAUGCCGCGUGCAGGAAGAAGGCCUUCGGGUUGUAAACUGCUUUUGUACGGAGCGAAAAGGUCCUUUCUAAUACAAGGGGCUCAUGACGGUACCGUAAGAAUAAGCACCGGCUAACUACGUGCCAGCCGCCGCGGUAACAC
rnacentral:rRNA from 1 species